AUUGAACGCUGGCGGCAUGCUUUACACAUGCAAGUCGAACGGCAGCGGGGAGGAGCUUGCUUCUCUGCCGGCGAGUGGCGAACGGGUGAGUAAUACAUCGGAACGUGUCGAGAAGAGGGGGAUAACCACCCGAAAGGGUGGCUAAUACCGCAUAAAUUCUGAGGAAGAAAGCUGGGGACCUAGGAAUAGGCCUAGCGCUUUUUGAGCGGCCGAUGUCGGAUUAGCUAGUUGGUGAGGUAAAGGCUCACCAAGGCGAAGAUCUGUAGCGGGUCUGAGAGGAGGAUCCGCCACACUGGGACUGAGACACGGCCCAGACUCCUACGGGAGGCAGCAGUGGGGAAUUUUGGACAAUGGGGGCAACCCUGAUCCAGCCAUGCCGCGUGUAUGAAGAAGGCCUUAGGGUUGUAAAGUACUUUUGUUAGGGAAGAAAAGUCAGCUGUGAAUAAUGGCUGAUACUGACGGUACCUAAAGAAUAAGCACCGGCUAACUACGUG
rnacentral:rRNA from 1 species